UCUGAUCAGGCCCUACACCCAAACAAGGGCACUGCGUUCAUCCACCACUGGCCUGCUGGCCCCCCUACCUCUGAGGAAGCACAGUUCCCGCUCAGCCCAGGCAAAACUGUUCGCUGCUCUGGCACCCCAAUGGUGGAACAAGCUCCCUCACGACGCCAGGACAGCGGAGUCAAUCACCACCUUCCGGAGACACCUGAAACCCCACCUCUUUAAGGAAUACCUAGGAUAGGAUAAAGUAAUCCUUCUAACCCCCCCCCUAAAAUAUUUAGAUGCACUAUUGUAAAGUGGUUGUUCCACUGGAUAUCAUAAGGUGAAUGCACCAUUUUGUAAGUCGCUUCUGGAUAAGAGCGUCUGCUAAAUGACUUAAAUGUAAAUGUAAAUGUUAUCCUGAAACCUUCAUGAUCUAAACAUGGAAUAUUGUUUGUCAGUUUCCAUAAAGCUAUGCACUAUCAUUUUGAGCAGUUGUAUCAAUUGAUAGUUAGAUCAUUGUAAUGAAAUGAAUAGACAGUCAUCUCAGAUGUAGUGUGUGAAUUUCAUUUUGAAAUGGUAAUACUUUGAUGUUAAGUUGUGUCAUUUUGAACAGAUGAUUUUAGUUCAAUGAACCAAUUAUCUUAGCUUUAUGUGCAUUGUAUCCAAGCAAUUGGAAAAAGUGUUAGAGUUUUGAAAAAUGUGCAUUUUGAUCAUUGGUUGUGAGUUUUGUGUCUAGAGUUUUGAAAAAUUACAUCAAGGUUCCGAAAUUAGUGCCAAAGUGAUAGUAAAAAAACUGUAUGAAAUGCCAUUGGUUAGUGGAUAUAAAGUCAUCUUUGAUAGGCAGAUGCGGAAUUUGUUACAGGAAAUAAUCACUGCCACCUGGUCAGGUAGGGCUAAACGUGCCAGGUUAUAUAAUGGGAACAACUAACGUAGCAUUUUAUCACGUGCAACUAUGUCAACGAUUUUUAUUGACUGAGAUAGAGAAAAAGUUGACACUUUUUCUAAUAUUUGCAUUUAUGGACCCAGAAUUUCUUCAGUGGAGAUGGAAACUAUUGGCUUUAUGGGUGGAACAGCAGUAAGUUACCCCAACCUAGUGUCUGACCUUUCAAUGCUAACUGCCUGCCAUCUGAUAAAGACAACCUACACUCAGACUAAUUGUCUGGAGAGAAAACACUGUGUGUGUGUGUGUGUGUGUGUGUGUGUGUGUGUGUGUGUGCGUGUGCGAGGAGGCAGUUGUGCAUGUUGUGUGUGUGUGUGUGUGUGUGUGUGUGUACGUGUGUGCGCACUAGGGGUGUAACUUGAUAGCAGUGCAAAUGAUGUCUUAGAUUAGGUUGUAUUGCACUGGGAGUUUAGCAUGUACUGUAGGGCUUAUCCUUCUAGAGUGUGGCAAGAUAUAAUGACUCUUGUUUCCUCUUCACUUCACACUUCCUAUUGUCAUUUUGAAAAGAUAAACACAUUUGGGCCAACGCUACAGUGAGAUAACAUCAUUAUCUAAAUGUUCCAGUCCUGCCAUGGCUAUCAUUUAAAAUGAUUAAAAUGAUUGUUUAAUUCCAGUCCAUGCGUAUCAUUGUCCAUUUUCUGAAGGCAACUUUGCCAUUCACGGCUCUAGAUAAUUCCAAGAAUUUAGACCUACAGUAGCUUUUAAUUUCAGCAGAAAGAUAGCACUGGGCGAAAAGGGUCAAUAUCAGGGGAUAUCUUUAUAGGCCUAUGAGAUAGGCCUAUGUGGACAACUUAUUUUCUCUAUAUGAUGACAAAUACUGACAGUUGGCCUACGUGGUAUAUUUUCUCAGCACAUACAAUGCAUAUGCUCCUGACUGAGGUCCAUAUCAGGAUCUUGAUAUGCUUUUUGUUAUGCUAAAUAAGGAACAUUUAUGCUUAUUUGACUCUUGGGGACAUGUUCAAUCAUUUAACAAAUAAUACAUCCAUAUAUCCAUUUUAUUUCAAACACUAGCUAAACUUUUUGUAAUCCAUCUGCAUAAAGGAACGCGCAAACCGCAAGCUAAAAGCACUGAACUGGUAGCCUAGCAACAAGAUUCACCUCUUUUCUGCUGUCUUUAUUUGGGCGCCACAAAUGAGUUUGUAAACGGUGUGUGGUCGAACUGACAACUGGAGAAACAAAGAAGUGAGAAGCUGUUCUGAAAAUACCUCAAAGAAGUUAACGCUAAAUUUGGAGUGGAUCACAGACCAGCACUGCCACCAUGUUGGAUAUGGAAUUCGAGGGACUGCCCCUGACAACCUAAUCUGCACCCAUUGCAUCCAUCGUCCGUAAUAACAAGGACAAUAACCUAACACACCUGUGUAGGGGCUAUUUGACCAAGAAGGAGAGUAAUGGAGUGCUGCAUCAGAUUACCUGGACUUCACAAUCACCCGACCUCAACCCAAUUGAGAUGGUUUGGGAUGAGUUGGACCGCAGGGUGAAGGAAAAUCAGCCAACAAGUGCUCAGCAUAUGUGGGUACUCCUUCAAGACAUUUGGAAAAGCAUUCCAGGUGAAGCUGAUUUAAGAGAAUGCCAAGGGUGUGCAAAGCUAUCAUCAAGGCAAAGGGUGGCUACUUUUUUGGUUACUACAUGAUGCCAUAUGUGUUAUUUCAUAGUUUUGAUGUAUUCACUAUUAUUCUACAAUGUAAAAGUAAAGAAAACCAUGAGUAGUUGUCCAAACUUUUGACUGGUACUGUAUAUAGAUAAAGAUAUCCCCUG
rnacentral:lncRNA from 1 species